UACGUAGGGUGCGAGCGUUGUCCGGAAUUAUUGGGCGUAAAGCGUGCGCAGGCGGUUUUGUAAGUCAGAUGUGAAAUCCCCGGGCUUAACCUGGGAACUGCGUUUGAAACUACAAGGCUAGAGUGUAGCAGAGGGGGGUGGAAUUCCACGUGUAGCAGUGAAAUGCGUAGAGAUGUGGAGGAACACCGAUGGCGAAGGCAGCCCCCUGGGUUAACACUGACGCUCAGGCACGAAAGCGUGGGGAGCAAACAGG
rnacentral:rRNA from 1 species